rnacentral:rRNA from 1 species
GACGAACGCUGUCGGCGUGCUUAACACAUGCAAGUCGAACGGAAAGGCCCUGCUUUUGUGGGGUGCUCGAGUGGCGAACGGGUGAGUAACACGUGAGUAACCUGCCCUUGACUUUGGGAUAACUUCAGGAAACUGGGGCUAAUACCGGAUAGGAGCUCCUGCUGCAUGGUGGGGGUUGGAAAGUUUCGGCGGUUGGGGAUGGACUCGCGGCUUAUCAGCUUGUUGGUGGGGUAGUGGCUUACCAAGGCUUUGACGGGUAGCCGGCCUGAGAGGGUGACCGGCCACAUUGGGACUGAGAUACGGCCCAGACUCCUACGGGAGGCAGCAGUGGGGAAUAUUGCACAAUGGGCGGAAGCCUGAUGCAGCAACGCCGCGUGCGGGAUGACGGCCUUCGGGUUGUAAACCGCUUUCGCCUGUGACGAAGCGUGAGUGACGGUAAUGGGUAAAGAAGCACCGGCUAACUACGUGCCAGCAGCCGCGGUGAUACGUAGGGUGCGAGCGUUGUCCGGAUUUAUUGGGCGUAAAGGGCUCGUAGGUGGUUGAUCGCGUCGGAAGUGUAAUCUUGGGGCUUAACCCUGAGCGUGCUUUCGAUACGGGUUGACUUGAGGAAGGUAGGGGAGAAUGGAAUUCCUGGUGGAGCGGUGGAAUGCGCAGAUAUCAGGAGGAACACCAGUGGCGAAGGCGGUUCUCUGGGCCUUUCCUGACGCUGAGGAGCGAAAGCGUGGGGAGCGAACAGGCUUAGAUACCCUGGUAGUCCACGCUGUAAACGGUGGGUACUAGGUGUGGGGUCCAUUCCACGGGUUCCGUGCCGUAGCUAACGCUUUAAAUACCCCGCCUGGGGAGUACGGCCGCAAGGCUAAAACUCAAAGGAAUUGACGGGGCCCCGCACAAGCGGCGGAGCAUGCGGAUUAAUUCGAUGCAACGCGUAGAACCUUACCUGGGUUUGACAUGGAUCGGGAGUGCUCAGAGAUGGGUGUGCCUCUUUUGGGGUCGGUUCACAGGUGGUGCAUGGCUGUCGUCAGCUCGUGUCGUGAGAUGUUGGGUUAAGUCCCGCAACGAGCGCAACCCUUGUUCACUGUUGCCAGCACGUUAUGGUGGGGACUCAGUGGAGACCGCCGGGGUCAACUCGGAGGAAGGUGGGGAUGACGUCAAGUCAUCAUGCCCCUUAUGUCCAGGGCUUCACGCAUGCUACAAUGGCUGGUACAGAGAGUGGCGAGCCUGUGAGGGUGAGCGAAUCUCGGAAAGCCGGUCUCAGUUCGGAUUGGGGUCUGCAACUCGACCUCAUGAAGUCGGAGUCGCUAGUAAUCGCAGAUCAGCAACGCUGCGGUGAAUACGUUCCCGGGGCU